GGUUAAUAGGGUAGGUACGAUAGGAUAUCUUUUCUCAAAUCUCAGAGCUCUACGAUCACCCUCGUGCCUGUCAGAGUCGUGUGAUAAGUCCUCUUUUAGUACAUCAUAAGUUGUCAAAACGAUGCUGGCAUUGAGAAGUUCAUUUAUAUCUGGCAGGGGUGUUUGUGAUAAAGAGUUAUUCCUCACUCCUUGAUAAAUGCAUGUUUUCAUAGCACCAGGACUUGUAUGACGAACAAUUUCAGCAUGCCACUGAGGCAAUAUAGGAGCUGGACACACUAUAAGAGUUGCACCUGAGCCAACUGGUGCUACACAGGCUUGGAUCAGUUCUGAGCAUGGCUGGCAGAUAUAGCCGUCUUCCAUUUCAACUAUUUUAACACCGUUUUUG
rnacentral:misc_RNA from 1 species